GACGAACGCUGGCGGCGUGCCUAACACAUGCAAGUCGAGCGAGAGACUUCGGUCUCUAGCGGCGGACGGGUGAGUAACACGUGGGUAACCUGCCUCAUAGAGGGGGAUAGCCUUCCGAAAGGAAGAUUAAUACCGCAUAUACUCUUGAUACCGCAUGGUAUUUAGAGGAAAGGAGCAAUCCGCUAUGAGAUGGACCCGCGCCGCAUUAGCUAGUUGGUGAGGUAACGGCUCACCAAGGCGACGAUGGGUAGCCGACCUUAGAGGGUGAUCGGCCACAUUGGAACUGUGACACGGUCCAGACUCCUACGGGAGGGAGCAGUGGGGAAUAUUGCACAAUGGGCGAAUGCCUGAUGCAGCACCGCCGCGUGAGUGAUGACGGCCUUCGGGUUGUAAAGCUCUGUCUUUUGGGACGAUAAAGACGGUACCAAAGGAGGAAGCCACGGCUAACUACGUGCCAGCCGCCGCUGUAACAC
rnacentral:rRNA from 1 species